GUGAGCCGAGAUCGCACCACUGCACUCCAGCCCGGGCAACAGAGCGAGACUCCGUCUAAAAAAAAAAAAAAAAAGAAAGAAAGAAAGAAAAAGAAAAAGAGCCGGGAGCAGUGUGGGCUCAAGCCUGUAAUCCCAGCACCUUGGGAGGCCAAGGCGGGCGGAUCACCUGAGGUCGGGAGUUUGAGACCAGCCUGACCAACAUGGUCUCUACUAAAAAUACAAGAUUAGCCGGGUUCGGUGGCAGGCGCCUGUAAUCCCAGCUACUAGAGGGGCUCAGGCAGGAGAAUCGCUUGAGCCUUGGAGGCAGAGGUUGCGGUGAGCCGAGAUUGCGCCAUUGCACUCCAGCCUGGGCAACAAGAGCAAAACUCCACCUCAAAAAAAAAAAAAAAGGGAAAAUGAAAAAGAAAAAAAAGGACAAAGGUACACAAGGAAACUGUUGGAGGUAAUGGAUAUGUUCAUUUUCCUGAAUGUGGUGAUGGUAGCAUGCGUGUGUAUGUCUGUCCAAACUCACCAAAUAUGUAUAGAUUUAUUAGUUAUAUGCAGGGUUUUCUUUUUUUUUGAGACAAAGUUUCACUUUGUUGCCCAGGCUGGAGUGCAGUGGAACCGUCUCAGCUCACUACAACCCCCGCCUCCCGGGUUCAAGCAAUUCUUGUGCCUCAGCCUCCCUCGUAGCUGGGAUCACAGGCGUUCACCACCACCCUCGGCUGAUUUUUUUUUUUUUUUUUUUUUUGUAUUUUUGUAGAGACAGGGUUUCACCAUGUUGCCCAGGCUGGUCGUGAACUACUGAGCUCAGGCAAUCCACCCAUCUCGGCCUCCCAGAGUGCUAGGAUUACAGGCGUGAGCCACCGUGCCCGGCCUAUAUGCAGUUAUCGUAUACCAAUUAUACCUCCAUAAAGCUGGGGAGGUUGGGGGAGGAAGACAAAAGAAUUCAGGCCUGCGGGGAAUGAUGGGAGUGGGUAGGAGAGGAGAGAGGGGAGAGAGGAAAACACAGAUCACCAGCAGCCUCGUGGGUGGUUUUGUAAAGGACUUUGGCUUUUGCUUUCUGCUAUGGACUGAACGUUUGUGUCCCCACAAAAGUCCUGUGUUGAAACCUAAUCCCCCAUGAUAUUAGGAGCUGAGGCCUUUGGAGGCAACGAGGUCAUGAGCGUGGAGCCCUCAUCAAUGGGAUUAGAAAAUUUAUACAGAGCUGAAGAGACCAGCGUUCGUGUCUUCUGCCCUGUGAGGACACAGCAAGAAGGUGCCCUGGGUGGGGAGGCGGGCCCUCACCAGUCACUGAGGCGCUGGGCUUCUUAGCUUCCAGAACUGCGACCAAUAAGUGUCUGUUGUUUAUAAGCUACUCGGCUUAUGAUGUUUGUUAGAAGAGCCCAAAUGGACUAAAACACCUCCAGGAGGAGGGAAGACAUAGAACGUUGUUAGCAGAGUGACAUGAGGGGACAAGAAUGCUAAAUUAAAAGGACUCGAGAGGCUGUUCUAUUUAACUUGGUUUUUGUUUGUUUGUUUUGAUCUGGAGUGCAGUGGCGCAAUUUCGGUUCACUGCAACCUCUGCCUUCCGGGUUCAAGCAAUUCUCCUGCCUCAGCCUCUCUAGUAGGUGGGGUUACAGGCGUUGGCCACCACGCCCAGCUAAUUAUUUGUAUUUUUAGUGGAGACGGGGUUUCACCAUGUUGGUCAGACUGGUAUUGAACUCCCGACCUCAAGGGAUCCACCCGCCUUGGCCUCUCAAAGUGCUGGGAUUACAGGUGUGCGCCACCUCCAGCUAAUUUUUGCAUUUUUAGUAGAGACAGG
rnacentral:lncRNA from 1 species